GGUGAGUAACACGUGGAUAACCUGCCUCGAAGUGGGGAAUAACCCCGGGAAACCGGAGCUAAUACCGCAUAUUCUGACGAGGUCUGCGGAUUUUGUCAGGAAAGGAGCAAUUCGCUUUGAGAGGGGUCCGCGGCUGAUUAGCUAGUUGGUGAGGUAAUGGCUCACCAAGGCCACGAUCAGUAGCCGGUCUGAGAGGACGGUCGGCCACACUGGAACUGAGACACGGUCCAGACUCCUACGGGAGGCAGCAGUGGGGAAUUUUUCGCAAUGGGGGCAACCCUGACGAAGCAACGCCGCGUGGGUGAUGAAGUAUUUCGGUACGUAAAACCCUUUCGACGGGGAAGAAACCGCAAGGUUGACGGUACCCGUAGAAGAAGCCCCGGCUAACUCCGUGCCAGCAGCCGCGGUAAUACGGGGGGGGCAAGCGUUGUUCGGAAUUACUGGGCGUAAAGGGCGCGUAGGCGGUUCGCUAAGUUGGAUGUGAAAACUCUGGGCUUAACCCAGAGCCUGCAUCCAAAACUGGCGAACUGGAGUACUGGAGGGGAAAGCAGAAUUCCUGGUGUAGCGGUGAAAUGCGUAGAUAUCAGGAGGAACACCGGUGGCGAAGGCGGCUUUCUGGACAGUAACUGACGCUGAGGCGCGAAAGCUAGGGGAGCAAACAGGAUUAGAUACCCUGGUAGUCCUAGCCCUAAACUAUGGAUACUUGGUGUGAGGGGGAUUGAAUCCCUUCGUGCCGUAGCUAACGCAAUAAGUAUCCCGCCUGGGGAGUACGGUCGCAAGGCUGAAACUCAAGGAAUUGACGGGGGCCCGCACAAGCGGUGGAGUAUGUGGUUUAAUUC
rnacentral:rRNA from 1 species